rnacentral:sRNA from 1 species
ACAAUAUUAUCCCGGCAAUCCACGUGUUGUAAAUUGUCGAAUACUGGUAUCUUAGAUACUUUACACUCCGUAACGGCUGAUGAAAAAAAUGUCCAGAUACUGUCACCGGGUCUUUACCUUGCGCUGAAUGGCAACCAGUUCGUCGAAAUACAUUUGUCAAGCUAAUAUAUGUACGCAGCGGUUGUUUUUUUUGGCGAUUAUCAUACCUGGCUACGUUGGCAACCAGAAUGGAGGGGACAAAGGAAAAGGUUUUUGGUCUCCCGUUUUGAUAGAGUUGGGACGAAGCCUAUUAUUUUGAACGC